AGAGUUUGAUCCUGGCUCAGGAUGAACGCUAGCUACAGGCUUAACACAUGCAAGUCGAGGGGCAGCAUGAAUCAAGCUUGCUUGAUUUGAUGGCGACCGGCGCACGGGUGCGUAACGCGUAUCCAAUCUACCCAUGGCUCAGGGAUAGCCUUUCGAAAGAAAGAUUAAUACCUGAUGGUUUCGCUCGGGGACAUCCCCUUGCGAGUAAAGAUUCAUCGGCGAUGGAUGGGGAUGCGUCCGAUUAGCUUGUUGGCGGGGUAACGGCCCACCAAGGCGACGAUCGGUAGGGGCUCUGAGAGGAGGAUCCCCCACAUUGGAACUGAGACACGGUCCAAACUCCUACGGGAGGCAGCAGUGAGGAAUAUUGGUCAAUGGGCGAGAGCCUGAACCAGCCAAGUAGCGUGAGGGAUGACUGCCCUAUGGGUUGUAAACCUCUUUUGUUUGGGAAUAAAGGGCCCCACGCGCUGGGGCUUUGCAUGUACCUUACGAAUAAGCAUCGGCUAAUUCCGUGCCAGCAGCCGCGGUAAUACGGAAGAUGCGAGCGUUAUCCGGAUUUAUUGGGUUUAAAGGGAGCGUAGGCGGUCUUUAAGCCAGCGGGUCAAAUGUCAUGGCCCAACCUUGGCAUGCCGUUGGAACUGUUGGCCUUGAAUACACACUAAGAAUGUGGAUCGUCGUGUAGCGUGAAUGCUAGAUAUGACGAGACUUCGGAUGGCUAGCAGU
rnacentral:rRNA from 1 species